UACCCGCUGAAUUUAAGCAUAUAAUUAAGCAGAGGAAAAGAAACUAACUAGGAUUGGUCCAGUAACGGCGAGUGAAGGGCCAAGAGUCCAAAUGUGAAUCAUCACUUGUGAUGAAUUGUGGUAUGGAGGUCAUUUUGUUUGUGGUGCCAACAAAGUCCCCUGGAAUGGGGCAGCACAGAGGGUGAGACUCCCGUUUGUUAGCCAGCAGUAAAUUUGACCAUUGAGUCGAGUUGUUUGGGAUUGCAGCUCUAAGUGGGUGGUAAAUUCCAUCCAAGGCUAAAUAUGGGUGAGAGACCAAUAGUAUACAAGUACCGUGAGGGAAAGAUGCAAAGCCGCGCGAAAGCGCUGUCAAAGAGUACCUGAAAUUGCUGAAAUGGAAGCAAAGGAAACCAGUGUCAGCCACCCUGCAUUUCUCCUUUUGCUUGCAAAUGGGGCGCUGCAGAUGGCUAUGUUCUUGUUAGUGUGUUGCAGUGGAAGUCUCUGGCACUGUGAAACAAUAGCUGGGGCAAAAUGGUUUUCUUUUUCCCGUCUUGAAACACGGACCAAGG
rnacentral:rRNA from 1 species